rnacentral:rRNA from 1 species
UACGUAGGGUGCAAGCGUUAAUCGGAAUUACUGGGCGUAAAGCGUGCGCAGGCGGUUUUGUAAGUCUGUCGUGAAAUCCCCGGGCUCAACCUGGGAACUGCAUCUGUGACUGCAUAGCUAGAGUACGGUAGAGGGGGAUGGAAUUCCGCGUGUAGCAGUGAAAUGCGUAGAUAUGCGGAGGAACACCGAUGGCGAAGGCAAUCCCCUGGACCUGUACUGACGCUCAUGCACGAAAGCGUGGGGAGCAAACAGGAUUA